rnacentral:rRNA from 1 species
UACGUAGGGUGCGAGCGUUGUCCGGAAUUACUGGGCGUAAAGCGCACGUAGGCGGCUCUUUAAGUCGGGGGUGAAAUCCUGGAGCUCAACUCCAGAACUGCCUUCGAUACUGUAGAGCUUGAGUUCGGGAGAGGUGAGUGGAACUGCGAGUGUAGAGGUGAAAUUCGUAGAUAUUCGCAAGAACACCAGUGGCGAAGGCGGCUCACUGGCCCGAUACUGACGCUGAGGUGCGAAAGCGUGGGGAGCAAACAGG